ACCCUGUCUCAGAAACUGAUCUCAUUUGAUCCCAGAAGUUAAGCAAGGUCAGGCCUGGUUAGCACUUGGAUGAGAGAAACUAAGGCAGAGGGUA
rnacentral:rRNA from 1 species